rnacentral:rRNA from 1 species
AAAAAGCUCGUAGUUGAACUUUGGGUUUGGUCGGCCCGUCCGAUUUUCUUCGUGUACGGGAUCCGACCGAACCUUUCCUUCUGGCUAACCUAGGGUACUUGUACCCUAGGCGAACCAGGACUUUUACUUUGAAAAAAUUAGAGUGUUCAAAGCAGGCGCAAGCUCGAAUAUAUUAGCAUGGAAUAAUGGAAUAGGACGUUUGGUUCUAUUUUGUUGGUUUCUAGGACCAUCGUAAUGAUUAAUAGGGACGGUCGGGGGCAUCAGUAUUCAAUUGUCAGAGGUGAAAUUCUUGGAUUUAUUGAAGACUAACUACUGCGAAAGCAUUUGCCAAGGACGUUUUCAUUAAUCAAGAACGAAAGUUAGGGGAUCGAAGAUGAUCAGAUACGRCGUAGUCUUAACCAUAAACUAUGCCGA